AAUGCUACAAAUUAUAUAAUUUGCAGGGGUUUUAACCCCCACUAUACAUCCCAAAAAAUACCGCAAAAUUUCUUCCUUUUUUCCCCAAAAAACAUUUGUCUCUCUAAUAUUCAUAGAACAAAACAUUUCUCGCAGUGGGAGGUACGGCCGGCCAUAGUAUUAUCCAGCUCCAGCCAUUGGGAGAUAUGCAGUGGGAGGUCUCCAGCCAUUUCCUUUCCCGCUUUGACCAUUGUUUAGAGUGCCGAUGAAUAAAUAUUUUUGAAAGCUUUUAUGGCUUAGGUAUCUGGGAAUCCGAUUUUGACAGAUGAAGAGUUUGACAAGCUUAAGUUGAAACUUAAGGUGGAUGAUAAAGAAAUGGAUCUUGGGCCUAACGCAACCUCAAAAGCUAGCUCAUGAAGGGAGGAUUGCCCAAGACCAUAUACGGAGACCAAAGACCCUUUAACCCACCGAUGUGGGACUCCAACAAUGGAUGGCAGUGAAAUUGUGGUUGAGGGUCCAUGGUACAGUCUCCGUAGUAGAAAGGUUUGUCCUACAGUUUUUCCAUUUUCACUACGAGGACACGCUAUAUUAUUUAUAUUGUGUAUUAUCGUAGUAUGCUUUGAUCAAAUUUACUUGUUUCAGGUUUACAGUGACCUUUAUGUUGAUUAUCUAAAGAUGUUCUUGCUAAAUGUCCUGGCAACUUUUGUUGCGUUUCGAUUGUUAGUAGCAUUUCUUUUUCUCUCAUUACUUUGGCUUCAAAAUCGCAUUGUUUGCAUAGUUUCAAACAACAAAAAAUGUUUGGUCCAUUUCAAAAAUUAAUUGUAGCAUUUAAAGUAUUCACCAAAGAUGUUUACUUUUGAGCUUUUAAGAAAUAAGACUAAGAGAAAUCUUGUAUUAGAGAGUGUAAAGGUCGGUUCGUUCUUGUUUACAUGUUUAUAUAUCAAAUAGACAUUUUCUUAUUGGGAGUGGAAUAACAAUUUAAGGUAGAGAAAGAAAAGAAGAAAUACUGAUAUCUAACUUGAAAAAGAAGGAUAACUAGUUCUCUGUUAAAUUGUUUUCUGCCUGACCUAAUGUUUGCAUCAAUUUUAUAAAUUCAUACGUACAACUUUCAUACUUUUAUGUUGAUGGUAUUCACACGUCGUGUCAGUAAUGGAAAGGCAAAAAGGUGGCACCGUACGUAUUUAUGUUUGCAGCUCACAGAGUAACAACCCUAUUUUUCUUUAAUAUGGUUUAUUUGGCUAUUCUAUUACAUGUUCUUUUUCCUCAAUGAUUUGACUGGAUUUGAGAUCACUUAUAUUUUGGAGGUAAACACAUAUCAUCCCUUUCCUGGAUCUUUAUUUUUUUUUCCUAGUCAAAGUGAAUAAGCACAGAAUAUUUUGCAGUAGCUUGGUUAAAAAGUUGGGAUUUUCAUUAGCUUUAGCAAAGUGAUAGGAAGUUGGAAGAUCUGAAAGCAUGUAACAAUACUAACACGUUAGGUGAUCCUGGAGGGAUUUGAAAUAACGUAGGAGAAUGUCUCUGAAUAGAUUAAUCAAGGGAAUAUUUGGUAAGUUAGGAGUUCAAACUAGUUACUCAAAAGGAUUUGAAGUAAGAGUGGUGUUGCUAAUUACGCUAAUCUUUGAGAGACGUCAAUAGUUACUGUACUUUGUCCAUGUUAGAGUGGUAAUGUUGAUUAACCUUUGUUUCUUUCAUAUGACUACAAUUGAUCUUCAUUGUUUAGGUUUCUUGAUUAUAUGGUUGUUGCAUAUCUGUGGUAAAGGAUCAUCUCGCUAGUUAGUUUUCCUUCUCUAUCUUGUUCUCUUUAGUGUUCUCUUUAGUUCGCACAUUAUAUGAUGCUUCCAAGUACACAGCAUAUGAGACAAAAUAUAUACCUUAGCUUCUUCUGUAGAGAUUACAUUGAAUAAAUUUGUUUAAUCUUAUCAAUCAGGAUCUAUCUUAUCUGAACAAAAAGGUAUGAAAGAGGUUCUAAUUUAUGGACUUGCCUAUUUCAAAAUCAUGAAUUCAUUUUCUGUCAAGCGUUGCCACUUUCCCAAGCAUCUUAUGAAUUAUGUGGACGUUCUUAGGUUGUGUCGUUGUGAUAAUUUUUUCCCUUUGUGAUCUGAAAUUUCUUAUAGGCCAGCAACCUGAAAAACUCUUCAUAUCUUGCUUGUAUUUUCUUGAAAAGAAAAACAAAAAUCAUUCAAUUCAACAUUUAUAUACUAUAUAGUCGGGGCUGACAAAGUUACUUCUCUCUACUCUUAGAUUUGGUGCAUCUGUUUUGCUUAAUUACUCUUAACUUGUGACACAGUAAUUGGAUAGGAUACAAAAUCUGCAUAUAAUUGACUUUAAGCAUUUAAGGAUGAUAGAACGGAUCACACUUAUUCUACUAAACUAUACCCGCUACAAUCUGAUUAUUGUAUACAAGUGUUACUUUUGUCGAACAGGGGAAUUGUGGUAAUUAAGAUAAUCUAUCAAAGAACCAGGUUCUUCUUUUUUUAUGGGCAAAGUUAGAGAACCAGGUUCAUGUGAUCAACCUUAUUUUAUGAAGUAACAUAGAGUUUUGAGUCUUAGUUACACAAGGUAGGGGUAAGGUCCGAGUUGGAUAAUUCUCUUGAGCAGGGAUAAAAUAGUUUCUCACUGAGCAUCUUCACUACUUUGUUGCUUUCAUAUAAAAUAGUUCACUAAUAUGUGUAUGUUCAUUAAUGUGUGUUCUAUUCUUCUAUGCCAGUGAUGUAAAGCGCACCUUAGUUGAGAAGUUGGCUUCACUUCGAGUAACAUCCAAACCUCAUUCAGUCUCCUCUGACGGUAUAUCUUAGAAGGCAAAGAACUUGAGUUUUAUAUGAAGAAACUAUAGAAGAAAAAGGGCAAGGCUGCAACUGCUUAAUUGGAGCUCAUCAAUUUUUGAGACUAAUUUAAAUAUUUUUCCUUUUUACCUAUUAAUCGACUUGGUUUGUGAGGAUUUUUUUUAAUCAUGCCAUGAGUCAAUCUUGAUUCCUCGGCUUCGUUUACUGA